AUUCAGCUGACCAAUCUCAAAUAGGACGAAACGCGCGUCAAACUAGAU
rfam:Schistosoma curassoni strain Dakar, Senegal genome assembly, scaffold: SCTD_scaffold0011049